UUUCCGUAGGUGAACCAGCGGAGGGAUCAUUACUGGAUUCGCAAGAUUCCACAACCCUGUGAACCUACCGAUACGUUGCCCCGGCGGGUGCCCGGCCCCCGCUGCGGGCGCUGCGCCCGCCGGCGGGUCCCUACCCCGUCUCUCCAGCGUGGCAACUCAGAGUCCCAGAAAACAAGUCAAAACUUUCAACUACGGAACUCUUGGCCCUCGCAUCGAUGAAGAAUGCAGCAGAUGGGGAGAGCACCCGCUUGAAAUCCAGUCACGCUUAACAACUUUCUA
rnacentral:misc_RNA from 1 species